rnacentral:misc_RNA from 1 species
GAUGAAGAACGCAGCGAAAUGCGAUAAGUAGUGUGAAUUGCAGAAUUCAGUGAAUCAUCGAAUCUUUGAACGCACAUUGCGCCCCUUGGUAUUCCAUGGGGCAUGCCUGUUCGAGCGUCAUUUGUACCUUCAAGCUUUGCUUGGUGUUGGGUGUUUGUCUCGCCUCUGCGUGUAGACUCGCCUCAAAACAAUUGGCAGCCGGCGUACUUGUUUCGGAGCGCAGCACAUUUUGCGAUCCAGAUCAACGUACAGCGGCAUCCAAGAAGCCUUAUUUAACGCUCUUGACCUCGGAUCAGGUAGGGAUACCCGCUGAACUUAAGCAUAUCAAUAAGCGGAGGA